UCUCAAUGCAGGAACUAGGCCAUCAGAAGAACUGGUUUUGAGGACAAACUAAUGUCUGAUGCCGCAACCAAGUGUUGCAGAAAAGAAAAAGUGGCUCUGUGUGUCCACCAAAAACUGAGAGCUGAGAGUUCUAAUUCUGGGCUGGCCAGUUUAGCAAAGUGUCUCUAUGGUGGACCCUAACUCCUGGGGAAUUUAGCUCCUCUUGUACCUCAAAGAAUUGGUAUAGGGAGGGAAAAUAGUCAGUGUCCAGCCUCUGAGUGAAGGUGAAAUAGCCCAGAGGAGUCCCCUGGCUUGAGUCAGAGCAAUGGAAUUCUUACCCACAUCAUAGGAAAGACUAAGGAGCAAGGAAAUACCAAACAGCAUGGGAAGAUCAAAAUUUUAAUAUUGGAGUAAACAUGGCCUCAUUUUAAUGUUGCAUAGCCAGUCUUGAAGACAUCUGGCUUGUAUAUAUUUUUGUAUUUAUGAUUUUGGCUGUUCGAGGAGGGGGUGUCUAUGGAGCACUGAAGAGUCAUCCUAGAAAUGAAGAUACCAGGUGCCUAACACAGACCUCAUCCUGUUCCCAUCUGCUCUGAGUGUAGAUUGGAUCAUCACUCUGUCCAUCAAAAAGCAUUUGCUAAGCACACUUAAAUAUGUGUGCGAGCUUCUGCAGGGACAGAAACUUUUCACACUAAAAACAAAAUGAGAUCAACUGAAGAGGAAUAGCUGACUACAACAUAUAUCCUGGAUCGCUGUACAUAAUCAUCACAUUUCUCACAAGGCAAGAGGAGUGUGCAGUUUCUAAUGUGCUCUCCAGGUGUGCAGCUGCAGUGAAGAGAGAUGCACAGAUACCUAAGAUUUCAGGGCUCCGAGAGACGCCAGGGAUCACCAACUAGGUGUGUCGCACACAUCUGGCAAGUUUGGAGACUGGUUCUUCCCCAUGAAGAUGAUGGUGCCCUUGCUCAUAGGUGGACCUGGUGAAGCCAGGUGUGCUCCUGAGGACUGUAACACGUGGCCAUGCUGGUGUGGCUGGUGUGGCAUUGAGUGAUCUCGUGGGAGCCAGUGGCACUGUGAUUUGCCCACCAAUCACACCUGCUGGAUUGUGGCAGAUGGAGAACCACAACUUCAGGCUUGAAACCUUCACGUUUGGGCAUUUUCCUUUAUACUUUUCCAUGCUUUUCAACCACUAAAGUCAAUUUGAGGAUAUAAAUAUCUUCAAAAGCAAAAGGAACCCUAGAGCUACUCUCAGAUGACUCCUUUUUCAAGGGUCUGUUUCCUGCCUUUUAUUUUGCUGUCACUGCAACCCAGGAUGUCAGCUAUGAGUUACGGAGUAUCACUGUAAAGCUCCAGACUUAAUGUAAAAAUCUUAAUAAACAAUUCCGG